GAUGAACGCUGGCGGCGUGCCUGAUACAUGCAAGUCGAGCGAACAGACGAGGAGCUUGCUCCUCUGACGUUAGCGGCGGACGGGUGAGUAACACGUGGAUAACCUACCUAUAAGACUGGGAUAACUUCGGGAAACCGGAGCUAAUACCGGAUAAUAUAUUGAACCGCAUGGUUCAAUAGUGAAAGACGGUUUUGCUGUCACUUAUAGAUGGAUCCGCGCCGCAUUAGCUAGUUGGUAAGGUAACGGCUUACCAAGGCAACGAUGCGUAGCCGACCUGAGAGGGUGAUCGGCCACACUGGAACUGAGACACGGUCCAGACUCCUACGGGAGGCAGCAGUAGGGAAUCUUCCGCAAUGGGCGAAAGCCCGACGGAGCAACGCCGCGUGAGUGAUGAAGGUCUUCGGAUCGUAAAACUCUGUUAUUAGGGAAGAACAAAUGUGUAAGUAACUAUGCACGUCUUGACGGUACCUAAUCAGAAAGCCACGGCUAACUACGUG
rnacentral:rRNA from 1 species